GGGACUGGUCGAAAAAAUUUUUCGAUCUUCAGAAGUAGCUACAGGACGUCGAGGUGAAUUACAACACUUACCGAGUCAGCUGGUGCGGGCAAAUAGACAACUACAGAAGGAGGCUCAAGAUGGCGACCAACAAGGUUGCUCGCCUUUAGAAGCAGUUGUCCGAAAGAGCCCAGGCUGUUUCGGUUCAAGGCUCCGACGAGCUCCGAUCCUUGAGAGGGA
rnacentral:lncRNA from 1 species